rnacentral:rRNA from 1 species
GACGAACGCUGGCGGCGUGCUUAACACAUGCAAGUCGAGCGGUAAGGCCCUUUCGGGGUACGACGAGCGGCGAACGGGUGGAGUAACACGUGGGUGACCUGCCCUCAGCUCUGGGAUAAGCCUGGGAAACCGGGUCUAAUACCGGAUAUGACUCCAUGACGCAUGUUGUGGGGUGGAAAGCCUUGUGCGGCUGAGGAUGGGCCCGCGGCCUAUCAGCUUGUUGGUGGGGUGAUGGCCUACCAAGGCGACGACGGGUAGCCGGCCUGAGAGGGCGACCGGCCACACUGGGACUGAGACACGGCCCAGACUCCUACGGGAGGCAGCAGUGGGGAAUCUUGCGCAAUGGGCGAAAGCCUGACGCAGCGACGCCGCGUGAGGGAUGACGGCCUGGUGUAACGU